rnacentral:tRNA from 1 species
GCCCCAUGGCCAAAUGGAUUAAGGCACCUGGCUUCGAACCAGGAGACUGGGAGUUCGAAUCUUCCCGGGGGCUCCA